UACGGGGGGAGCAAGCGUUGUUCGGAUUUACUGGGCGUAAAGGGCGCGUAGGCGGCCAGCACAAGUCAGUUGUGAAAUCUCCGAGCUUCACUCGGAAAGGUCAACUGAUACUGUGCGGCUAGAGUGCGGAAGGGGCAACUGGAAUUCUUGGUGUAGCGGUGAAAUGCGUAGAGAUCAAGAGGAACACCAGUGGCGAAGGCGACUACCUGGCCCAUUCUUGACGCUGAGGCGCGAAAGCUAGGGGAGCGAACGGG
rnacentral:rRNA from 1 species